rnacentral:misc_RNA from 1 species
GGAGUCGAGUGAAGCUUCAGAGGCAGUGAUCGAAACCCUAAGAACCAGGGGUUGGAGUAUAGGGGACAUCGACCAAGUAAAAGCCUUAAUCUUUAUACAAUCAGCUCUUUCAGAUGAUCAGGAAACGUCUGCAGUGGCGGAUUCCGUUGAAUCAGAGUUGCUCAACAUGGACCUUAAAUCCAUCGGAGCAAAGUCCCUACCAGACUCCAAUCUCAUUCGUAAAACCUCUCAUCUACUAGGCCCCAAAGUUCUUCAGAUAUCUUCUGUGCGAGACAUAUCUAUAAGUAGCAUAGAGGGAUUUUCAGAUUCCGGUCACCAGCGCCUUCUAAGAUUGAGACUUGCUGAUGGGCACAACGAGAUAACCGCGAUAGAGUACUCUCAUAUACCGUCUAUUCCUAAUGAUGUAGUUCCUGGUACUAAGGUUCGACUGGAAAAUAAAACUCCUAUACAUAGUGGUAUACUAUGCUUGAACCCUAAAGAUAUAACUAUAAUAGGAGGUGUUGUUCCAUCACUUUAUGAAGAAUGGCAACUGAACCAAAAAUAUUCUGGUUUCUCCCGUUCAUUGAUGAGAUUAUCAGAGGAAACUGAUAGCGGUGCUCCUCCUCCAUUUGAGAAGUUGCAAAUUGUGGCACCAUUUCAUCGGUCUUCUAAGCAAGGCAAACCUGCUGUGCUUCAAUCAAGCAAUGUUCAAAAUCAAGCUACUGCUCAAAAACAUCUACAGAGUACGAGUCACCCAAAUCAGUAUUCUAGAGCACAAAAAUAUAGGGGGAAGGAUCAAGAAGAAGAGCCACAGGUUCUCAUUCUUGACAAAAAAAUUGAUUACUCUGAGUCUACAUCUAAGAGCAGUGUGCCUACCACUGUGGAAACAGCUGGAAAUACUGAAAUUAGGUUGAUAGAUGCACAGCAGAAUGCAGAUUACCUUGAUGAUAAGGUGACAGCUGCUUCCCUUGCACAAAGUAUUGAACAGAAGCCAAGUAACUCUGAAACGAGACUGAAGGAAGUAGCUGAAUCUGUUCCUGUACAAAAUCAAGCUGCGGCCCUUAAACUCCUCCAGAAAAUGAGUAGCUCAAAUCAAGGGCAUAGGCAUUCUAGAGGUCGGAAACAUAAAGGGAAGGGUAAACAAGAAGAGCAUCAGGUUUUCACUCUAGAUGAAUGGGAAAACAGGAAAGUUGGGGCGGAUCCUACAUUGAAAAAUAACCUUCCAGAUGCCAGUGCUGAUGAGGACAUUGCAUGGCAGCUUCAAAACCAACUUGAUGUGGAAGAUUCUCAUGUACAAAUGGGAAUGCAUGACGUGGCGGCUGACAUUAGAAUGAGCAUGUUUAAUUAUGAUAGAGAUUCUUAUAGUGUUCGUGGAAUGGAACAUGGAGGAGGAGGAUGGGGAAAGGGAAGAGGAAGGGGAAGGGGGAGAGGGAGGGGAAGGGGAAGGGG